UGUCUUUUUCCCCAUGUGGAACUGAACCCAAGAAGGACAUUUCUUCCAACAAAGCAAAGUAAGCAAAACAAAACCCCACAGAAUUCUAGCUAAGGUACAAUACUCAUUUGCUACAGCUUGUUGUUUAGUUCUAAUGUUGGUGGAUUAGGUUUGUGCUUAUUUUCCUGGAGGGAAAAAAUAAGCCGCAAAAGUGAAGUCACAUUAAAAAAAAAAAAAAAAAAACCAAAACCUUUAAACCUGCCCUGAGUCUGAAGGAAUAAAGGACAUUUUCAUAAGGCUAAUUAAUGUUAUUUGAUUUUUGGCACUCCAUAUUUUGUGUCAAGCACCUAAUCUGGAGAGACAGCUCCCAAGAUUAAAGUAGGAGUAACAAAUAACUUCCCCACCCUGCUAAUUAGGGUACUGGAGAAUCCAAACAAGUGUGAGGUGAGUUAUUAGGGAAUGGACAAGCACUGUCUUCUAUCCAUUCUCUCCACCACAAAUGAAUUAAAAAUGAAUAAAACGUGGGGCUUUCAUAACUCUCAAAACCCAGUGGUUGAAUUAGCUCAUCUAAUAGCAGGGCCAAUCUUGGCAGAGCAAGACCAAAAUGCUUAUUCUUCCUCCCCCUUCUCCACCCCCAAACCUCCAACAUCCACCCAAAGUUUUCAGACUUCAUAAACAGGAGCAACUUUUUUUUCCUGUCCAGUACCUUGUCUGACAAUUAAGGAAGUAGUUAGGCAUGCCAAUGGCAUAAAACAUUUCACUUUGUUUUGCCUUUUAAAAGAAAGUAAUUGUUUGCUGUAUGUUGGUUAACAUUGCUACCUAUAAAAAAAAUGAAACCACAACAAGCAGUGUUUGGAAUAACACACCCCCAGCCUUGCUCUCAUCAUGAGGCAAAUAGGCACUUGCACAUAACGCUCCUAAGCCAUUCCCUUCCGCCUCUUUGAUGGGGCCAGGAUAAACCCUCAGGGCAGGUGGGGAUUUGAAUCAAGUUGAGCUUUGAACUUGCUGGAUGUCCUUUUUGUGUCAAGGGAGCUGUCUUUGAAAUUAUCAGAGCUUAAAACUAUUUCCCCAUCUCCGCGGAAACCUGAAAAAGCGCUUAAUGCUGUAAUUACUCCCCAUUUGACAGAAUAGACUGGAGAUGUGACAAUAUUAGUGCCACGCUGGAAAUUUCGGCUCUAUGUUUCCUAACCAUUCUCAGUGUGACAGGAAAGAAAUGGCUUGCAAAAACAUGAUUCAAAGAAGAAGAAAAUGCGGAGUGAAAAAUACCAAGUUCUGUGGUUGUGGAUGAUCAUUCUACCAUCAUUUCAUCAGCUUCCAUGCCGGAAACGGUCACUACCUAUUCUUCAGUGGGGGAAAAAAAACAGUCCAGUUGCCUUUUGAAGAAAAAAGCACCUUUGAGACAACUAUCACCUGGAUGACUGAGAACCUCCACAGACAUCCCCCAAGGAAGACUGGCAGAAGAACUCCCUACCCUCUGUGGGGCUUUUUCGAAUCAUGAAGCAUAGAAAGCUGGAGAGGUUGCAGAAGGAUAGAGGGGCACACUCUGUGGUCAUAUGCACAUGCUCACAUUACUACUGAACUGGUAGCAAAGGUACAAUAUGAAUGCUGCUUGCUAUUCUUAAAAGUCCUAAAUGGCUUGGGUCCAAACAUCUACAAGAGCCCUUUCUCCUGCAAGAGACUUACCCACCCACGAAGAUCCACCCAGGGAAGCUCACCUUCCAGUCAGUCCUGACUGGAGGGAUAUAUGGGGUCAGGCCUUCCCUUUGAUUAUGCUGCAUCUGUGAAAUCCAUUCCCCAGUAAAUAUGUGCCCUUGAAGAUGGCUUUAUCAAUUGACCUACAUUCUUUAAUUGUUCUGGUUUUUUUUUAAACACUCUGACCAAAACAACAAUAUUUGUUUAUUUAUUCAUUCAUUCAUUCAAUUUCUAUUGCUGCCCAUCUCAGUCAAUGACUCCGGGCAGCUUACAAAUCCAAAGGUAUAAAAACAAUUGAACAAUAACAAACAUUCUAGACAACAAAAUAAAUAA